rnacentral:rRNA from 1 species
CUUGAGAAGGCUAGUUCAGCAGGGGUUGGUUCCCUGUUUAAGCAUGUAGGAGGAGUUGCCAGGCAAAUCCGGCAGCUCUUAACUCCGAGGUGUGAUGACGAGGCUCCACGCGAGCCGAAGUGAAUAACGCCCCGCUUCCAGGAAAAGCCUCUAAGCUUCAGAUCACAUUGGACCGUACCGUAAACCGACACUGGUGGGUGAGCAGAUAAUCUGCCAAGGCGCUUGAGAGAACUCGGGUUAAGGAACUCUGCAAAUUGAUACCGUAACUUCGGAAGAAGGUAUGCCUUCGACGGUGUAGGGAUUUACUCCCGAAGCUGUUGAAGGUCGCAGGUAAUCGGUGGCUGCGACUGUUUAUCAAAAACACAGGACUCUGCGAACACGCAAGUGGAAGUAUAGGGUCUGACGCCUGCCCGGUGCCGGAAGGUUAAUUGAUGGGGUUAGCCGCAAGGCGAAGCUCUUGAUCGAAGCCCCGGUAAACGGCGGCCGUAACCAUAACGGUCCUAAGGUAGCGAAAUUCCUUGUCGGGUAAGUUCCGACCUGCACGAAUGGCGUAACGCUGGCCACACUGUCUCGACCCGAGACUCAGUGAAGUUGAAAUCGCUGUGAAGAUGCGGCGUUCCCGCGGCAAGACGGAAAGACCCCGUGAACCUUCUCUACAGCUUUACACUGAACUUUGAACCUUUCUGUGUAGGAUAGGUGGGAGGCUAUGAAACUUGGGCGCUAGCUCGAGUGGAGCCAACCUUGAAAUACCACCCUGGGAUGUUUGAAGUUCUAACCUUGGUCCGUAAUCCGGAUUGGGGACAGUGUAUGGUGGGUAGUUUGACUGGGGCGGUCUCCUCCCAAAGAGUAACGGAGGAGUGCAAUGGUACGCUCAGCGCGGUCGAUCAUCGCGCUCUAGAGUGCAAAGGCAUAAGCGUGCUUAACUGUGAGACAGACACGUCGAACAGGUACGAAAGUAGGUCUUAGUGAUCCGGUGGUUCUGUAUGGAAGGGCCAUCGCUCAACGGAUAAAAGGUACUCCGGGGAUAACAGGCUUAUUCCUCCCAAGAGUCCACAUCGACGGAGGAGUUUGGCACCUCGAUGUCGGCUCAUCACAUCCUGGGGCUGUAGCAGGUCCCAAGGGUAUGGCUGUUCGCCAUUUAAAGUGGUACGCGAGCUGGGUUCAGAACGUCGUGAGACAGUUCGGUCCCUAUCUGCCGUGGGCGUUGGAAACUUGAGGGUGAGCUGUCCUUAGUACGAGAGGACCGGGAUGGACGUAUCUCUGGUGUUCCGGUUGUCACGCCAGUGGCACUGCCGGGUAGCUAUAUACGGACGGGAUAAGCGCUGAAAGCAUCUAAGCGCGAAGCCCCCCCCAAGACUA